rnacentral:rRNA from 1 species
UUGACCUCAAAUCGGGUGAGACU